rnacentral:rRNA from 1 species
GACGAACGCUGGCGGCGUGCUUAACACUUGCAAGUCGAACGGAAAGGCCCUGCUUUUGUGGGGUGCUCGAGUGGCGAACGGGUGAGUAACACGUGAAUAACCUGCCCUUGACUUUGGGAUAACUUCAGGAAACUGGGGCUAAUACCGGAUAGGAGCUCCUGCUGCAUGGUGGGGGUUGGAAAGUUUCGGCGGUUGGGGAUGGACUCGCGGCUUAUCAGCUUGUUGGUGGGGUAGUGGCUUACCAAGGCUUUGACGGGUAGCCGGCCUGAGAGGGUGACCGGCCACAUUGGGACUGAGAUACGGCCCAGACUCCUACGGGAGGCAGCAGUGGGGAAUAUUGCACAAUGGGCGGAAGCCUGAUGCAGCAACGCCGCGUGCGGGAUGACGGCCUUCGGGUUGUAAACCGCUUUCGCCUGUGACGAAGCGUGAGUGACGGUAAUGGGUAAAGAAGCACCGGCUAACUACGUG